rnacentral:lncRNA from 1 species
CACAAGACUACUUUCCUUCAAAUGCACCAAUUCAGCUAUUUUAAGCAGUGCAUUGGAAGAACAUAUUCUCUAAUUUUGUACUACUUCUUCUAACAUUGAUGAUACGAGUUUGGCUUUCAGCAGCAGUUUACCGUAGUAAAGUUUAUUUGUAACUGAGUAUUAUGAAAAAAACUGCAAAUUAGUAAGAAGAAGUAAGAUUUUGAUGCCACGCCUAAAAUAGGUUAAGAGCAUAUUCUUUACCUGUCUUUAAAUCCUUCUGUCCAUCCAUUUUGUACUUGUUUAAAGAUUUUAUUUUAGAUA